UGUUCCGUUGCAACUGCGGCUCCAAAAGUCGUUCGAGUCGAAGCCCGGGAGGAAGUUGAAAUAUAUUUGUAUAAUUAGAAUUGAAGUCCAUUUCAUAAAUUUCUAUAUUGUCAGUUUGUUGAAUUUAUCAGCGGAUGUCUACGACAAUCCAAAAUUUUGAAUGAAGAAAUUUUACCAUUAAAAUGUCGAAAGCGGAUUUUAUUCUCAGUCGACCAAAAGAGGACAUUUCUGUGUAAUAACUGACUAAUUGUUUAAAAAAAGUGGAAGGACGUGUGUAAUAGUGUAUUUUAUGGAAGAAGAAAAAUGAAACUGCCAUUAAAAAUGACACGAGAAUACACCGAAAAAGGAAACAUAUUUCGUGCGAAUGAAAGGAAAAAGAAAAUCGAAUGAAGAUAUUUUAAAAUUAUUUUUGAACUAUUUUAUUUUACAAAGUUGCAUAUAAAUUGUUUGGAGGAAAAAUAUGUAAAUUACAUUAAUUUGUGAUAGUGAUAUUUGUGAACGCUGAUCUCAGUAAUUAGUAUAUAUCAAUGGUUCCGAAUUAGUGGUACGCGUACCACUGAGGGUAGGCGAAACUGCAUGAAGGGGUACGCCUGGCAAUCUAAAAUCGGUCGAUUUAGAAUUUAAAUACAUGAGU